CCAACAAUCGAUAAGACGACAGCAAGUCUAUAUAUAAGUAACCAAAGUUCGCAGAACUCCACAGCAGUAUUAAUUCUGGAGUCAAAAAUUUUAUCAUCACCGCCGGAACAAAAUGAAAUUCUAUUCUGCGUUUGUCGUAGCGAUUAUAGCUUUGAUUCAGGUAAUCAAUGUGAACGCUCAAAUGUUUCCGAUAUAUGGACAACCUUUAAUAUAUCCUCCAUAUCCCUAUUAUGGUGGUGGAUUCGGUAUGUCCCCAUACUAUGGCAAUUAUUAUGGUGGAGGUAGAUUUUAUGGAGGACGUGGAGGCUUUUGUGGAUAGAAUUUGUUGGUAGACUGUUGAUUUAUACUAAUGAAAUUACUGAUUGACGUAAUAAACGAUUGAAUUAGCAUAGUAAUUGUGAUCAAAAA